rnacentral:snRNA from 1 species
CCUGCUCCCUGGCCUUGUGGCUAAGAUCAAGUGUAUGUAUCUGUUCUUAUCAGUUUAAUAUCUGAAAUAAAGUUAAAGUAAUUCCUCAUGACCAGGUUGGAUUAAUCCCAGAAAUGCAAAAUUAGUUCAACAUUAGUCAAUCAAUUAAUGUAAUGAACCACACUGA